AUGGUCCCAAGGUAGGAGCUGAAAUGUGGAAAAUUGAAAGAAUUCGAAAAGUGAAAUCAAUAUUCAGCAUAAGUUAACAUUUAUGUUUUUGAAACUGAAAUUUGAAUGAACUUAUGUUAACUAAAUGUUUUCACACAUAUUGACCAGUUUAUUUGUCAUCAUUUGCCACGUAAUGACGACCAUUGUUGAAGCUGGCCACAGGAAUUCUAAGCUGUCACUAAUCCUGCAGCUAAAAAUGGAAUCAAUAAUUGUAAUAUCACAGUAAUCUUACAAAAUUUCUUAUCUUGUCUUUCAGAUGCACGUUUUGUAAAUGGUGAAUCUCAAAUUAAUCAAAGAACUCGUCAUUUCACUUCAUUGACUUUCUCUUCCCAUUUUAAUAAUGAUGAUAAAUUGCAAGAACUUACCGGAGAUCUCUUCCUUUCUGUGGUUCCUUUCAAUUGAUUCCUUUGAGUUUAAUCUCUCGCCGCUGUUCCAGACCUUAUCCACUAGCGGAAUAUGCCGAGAGAUGUUGAACUUAUUCCAGGUUAACCCUUCGCCAUCGUGCUAUAGAAGUUGACGGUUAAACAAGAGCUUGCUUUCGAUCAAUAACAAUAAAUUAGGUAGAUGUAGAUAAAUAACAAGUGCAUGGGCUCCCUUCUAUUCUGUGGCCCCGUUUCCCUAACUAACCACCUACGGAGGGCUCUGGUCGAACGGGGACUUGAACGGUUCAUGUUCUGAGGAAAAUUUUUUGAGGGACAAGAGUCUAAUCAGGCAGUCUACUAUGAUCCCAAGCAAAAGUUGCCUCGCACUCUUC
rnacentral:lncRNA from 1 species